rnacentral:lncRNA from 10 species
GUGAGACACACUGCUGCUUCAGAGUGCUCCAACCCAUCUCCCCUGAUUAAACACUAACCAGGGCUGCCACAGCAAAGUGGCUCAAAUGGGUGACGUCAACAACAGAUUUACUUUCUCAUAGUUCUGGAGGCAGGUGUCUAGGAUCAAGGUGGUGGCAAGGCUAUUCCUUCUGUUGCCUCCCUCCUUGCCUUGUGGAUGACCGUCUUCUCCGCGUCUUUCCAAGAUCUCUCCUCUGUGCAUGUCAGUGUCCUUGCUUCCUCUUCUUAUGAAGACACCGGUCAUGUUGGAAUGCAACAGAAGAGAGUGCACGGCUUCUGAGGUUGCAGCUUUUGGGAGAAGCCAUCUACCAUUGAUGACAGACAUGCCGUGUGGAAACCAAACCAGCCAUGUGGAGAGGCUACCUGGACAGAGGCACAGGGCCAGCAGCAGCUGUGGAGACAGACAUGUGAGCAAAGAAAUCAUCUUUGAUGUACAGCCAAGUUGAGCCUUCAGAUGACUCCGAUUUCAGCCACCUUUGGACUGCAACCACAUGAAAGACUCUAAAUAGAAGCCUCCCAGCUGAUCCCGGUUAACCCACAGUGCUGAAGGGGAU